CACGCGGGGCGCUAGUUGCUCAGACAUCAGCCGGCUGAGGAGCUAGAUCUGCGGCGUGUAGAUCCGCGCGGCCCCGCUCAUCUAGCCGCUGUGCUUCUGUGUGGGGCGUUCAGAGAUCUACCCACCAGCUCCAGGAAUGGACUGACUUUCUAGCUUCCCCACCGCCACAGACGAAUCCGCUCUUGUUUCUCCAACGACUCGUCGGAUAAACGUUCAGAGUUUAAGCUCCAGCUUUGGGUCGUUUUAAUUUGAAGUUAAAUUUCGGAACCGUCUGAGCGACAACACAGCUUUUCUUUCUCACUCGCGUGACUUCUUCGUAGCCGUGUGGACGACACGGGAUUCAACUUAAACGAACCCGCAGACAUUUUGUUAUUUCUGAGAAUUAGACCGUUUUUUUUUUUCUUCUUCUUCUUCCUCCUUUUACUUUUUCAUCAGCGUAGUCGCAGCUGGCUGAAACGAGCGUACUAAAAAAAAAAAAAAAGGCUUUUUAAAAGGACCACAAGACGACGGAAGACACCAUUACUCUCUUGCUCGCUAGCUAAAAGCCAAAACACCAACUGUCGUAACGUUUUUUAAAUUUACAUGCGUUGAGCUCGCGCCGCUGCCGCUCGAGCGUUAAACGCGGAAGGCUUUCAACUGCGAUGGAUCAUUUUGACUGACAGCUUCUGAAGAAUUAGCUAGCUUUAGCCGGUGAGGAACCAGCACUGGUGGUAGCUUUCCUGUCCUCAGACACAGUAAAUACGGUGGUCUUACACCCACCAGACAAGGACUCUUUUACCUCGACGUGCUUCACUUAUAUUCGGCUUAAUUUUUUUUUCGGGGGGGGGGUCGCUAGCUACCGUUAGCUAGUUAUCCUGUGCUAACGCUGGACAGCUCCUGUGCGAGGCAGGGCUAGCUUUGGACAAAGGACCAACGCAAGGAAAAAUAUAAACACAACGCACUCAGUUGAUCGUGUUUGGGAAGGAGAGCUACAAACAAGGAAUUGACAUGAUGUUUCCACAAUCAAGACACUCAGCUUCAUCGCAGCAGCUGAAAUUCACAACCUCGGACUCCUGUGACAGGAUCAAGGAUGAGUUCCAGUUCCUCCAAGCACAAUACCACAGUUUGAAGCUUGAGUGUGACAAGUUGGCCAGUGAGAAGUCAGAGAUGCAACGCCAUUAUAUCAUGAUCUGUGUGUUGUUUGUUU